UACAGAGGGUGCAAGCGUUGUUCGGAAUUAUUGGGCGUAAAGCGCGUGUAGGCGGCUUAGCAAGUCGGGCGUGAAAGCCCUCGGCUCAACCGAGGAAGUGCACCCGAAACUGCUGAGCUUGAGUGCCGGAGAGGAUGGCGGAAUUCCCCAAGUAGAGGUGAAAUGCGUAGAGAUGCGGAGGAACACCGAUGGCGAAGGCAGCCCCCUGGGAAAAUACUGACGCUCAGGCACGAAAGCGUGGGGAGCAAACAGG
rnacentral:rRNA from 1 species